rnacentral:rRNA from 1 species
UGAGUGUCAUUGUAAUCUCACUACGAUCGACUUUUACGGUCUUUUCGUAUGUGGACUUGGAUGCUGCCGUGGAUAUCCUACGGCUCGUCUGAAAUGCCUGAGUGUACCCCGCUUUGCGGCGUAUUCGGUGUGAUACAUCUUCACCGGAGUUGAUCCGAAAGGAUCGCGUCUGUAAUGGUGUGGCUCUAUGCUUUCCAACCGUCUUGAUCAGGACAAUCUCUGACAAUUUGACCUCAAAUCGGGUGGGACUACCCGCUGAACUUAAGCAUAUCAAUAAGCGGAGGAAAAGAAACUAACAAGGAUUCCCCUAGUAACGGCGAGUGAAGAGGGAAAAGCUCAAAUUUUGAAUCUGGUGUCUUUGACUCCCGAGUUGUAAUCUAGAGAAGUGUUUUCCGUGUCGGACCGUGUACAAGUUCCCUGGAACGGGGCGUCAUAGAGGGUGAGAAUCCCGUAUAUGGCACGGACUACCGAUGCUUUGUGAUACACUCUCAACGAGUCGAGUUGUUUGGGAAUGCAGCUCAAAAUGGGUGGUAAAUUCCAUCUAAAGCUAAAUAUUGGCGAGAGACCGAUAGUGAACAAGUACCGUGAGGGAAAGAUGAAAAGCACUUUGGAAAGAGAGAGAAACAGUACGUGAAAUUGUUGAAAGGGAAGCGUUUGAAGUCAGUCAUGUCUGUCGGGGUUCAGCCUGGCUUUUGCCUGGUGUACUUUCCGUCCGACGGGUCAGCAUCAAUUUCGACCGAGGGAAAAAGACGUGAGGAAUGUGGCUGUCUUCGGGCAGUGUUAUAGCCUCGCGUUGUAUGCCUCGGUUGGGAUUGAGGAACGCAGCGCGCCUAUAGGCCAGGGGCUACCCGCCUCUUGACACGCGCUUAG